UCCUUCGUGUUCCUCCAUGGUUGCAGACCAGGCUGACCUUCCUCCUGGCUCCUCAACACUUUUGUGUUUUAUCUGUUGCCAUAACAUUUCUAUUUUUCAUGUUUUAUGCCCUUUUUUUUUCAAAGAAAACCCUUUUUUUUUAAUGGCAAAUGACCUUUUUUUCAAAACGGAUUAUUUGAUGUGAAGUAAUUGGAGUCUUGAAUAGUGGCAGUAAAACGGCUGAUCAAACAAAACAGAAGUCAUCGUCAUGGACCCACUAGCUGUGGAAGCCAGCUCUCCAAUCAGCUAAACAGACUCAACGACUCCACGGUGACGUCUUGGUGCUAAUAUCUGCAUGGAAGCAAGAGGUUUGCAUGAGUGCAGCAAGCCACAGCACAGCGUGUCUCAGUCUCCACCAAUCUAAAGACAAUGAAGGUUCACCACACUGUAAUUAGCCAACAAUGAGUUUGCCAGUCACUUCUCAUAAAUAUGAAUGAGGAGGGAUGGAUAGAAGGUGUUGGGUCUAAAUCUGCCACCAUGUUUUAUUUUUUUCCCUUCUGACGUGAGACGGAGAACACGGCCCAGCGUCAUAUUCAUCCUAUCAAAACUUCCUGAGGGAAAGAGUUUUUAAAGAGCUUUUGUGUGUCACUCUUUUCCUGUCAUGACUGGAAGAGUGCAGCUUGUAGAAGGCGUUAAGGGGUGCAGAUUGAUGGAGCAAGUUUGCCUUUUGUGUUUUUUUUGUUUUUUUACUUUGAGAGGAGAGACUUUUUGUUUUUAAUCUCCCUUGGUCUCAGCUGUUAAUGUGAAAUCAAUUCAGGAACGGGGCAGAAAAUAUUUUUGAGUUUAAAGUCUGCUUUUUACGAUUACUUAGCAGCCAUCAGGAGUACUUUCAUCAAAAGUGAUGCUUUGCAACUCGUAAAUUAGUGUUGUCCCGAUACCAACAUUUUGGUACCGGUACCAAAAUUAUUUCAAUACUUUUCGGUAUUUUUCUAAAUAAAAGGGACCACAAAAACCUGAA